rnacentral:rRNA from 1 species
UGGGGAAUAUUGCGCAAUGGGGGGAACCCUGACGCAGCCAUGCCGCGUGAAUGAAGAAGGCCUUAGGGUUGUAAAGUUCUUUCGGUAUUGAGGAAGGUUGAUGUGUUAAUAGCACAUCAAAUUGACGUUAAAUACAGAAGAAGCACCGGCUAACUCCGUGCCAGCAGCCGCGGUAAUACGGAGGGUGCGAGCGUUAAUCGGAAUAACUGGGCGUAAAGGGCACGCAGGCGGUUAUUUAAGUGAGGUGUGAAAGCCCCGGGCUUAACCUGGGAAUUGCAUUUCAGACUGGGUAACUAGAGUACUUUAGGGAGGGGUAGAAUUCCACGUGUAGCGGUGAAAUGCGUAGAGAUGUGGAGGAGUACCGAAGGCGAAGGCAGCCCCUUGGGAAUGUACUGACGCUCAUGUGCGAAAGCGUGGGGAGCAAACAGGAUUAGAUACCCUGGUAGUCCACGCUGUAAACGCUGUCGAUUUGGGGGUUGGGGUUUAACUCUGGCGCCCGUAGCUAACGUGAUAAAUCGACCGCCUGGGGAGUACGGCCGCAAGGUUA